rnacentral:rRNA from 1 species
UACGUAGGUGACAAGCGUUGUCCGGAUUUACUGGGCGUAAAGAGCGCGCAGGCGGUCGAUCAAGUCGAGUGUGAAAGCCCCCGGCUCAACUGGGGAGGGUCAUUCGAUACUGAUCGACUUGAAGGCAGGAGAGGGAAGUGGAAUUCCCGGUGUAGUGGUGAAAUGCGUAGAUAUCGGGAGGAACACCAGUGGCGAAGGCGACUUCCUGGCCUGUUCUUGACGCUGAGGCGCGAAAGCUAGGGGAGCAAACGGGG